CUCCCACCCUCCCCCGGCCGGCGCGUCCCGCCCUGGCGAGUCAGUCCUCGGGUUCCCUCCCUCCCCGGGCGCGCUCGGGCCGCCGCUGCGCUCCCCGCCCUCCAGCCGCCUUGCCGGAGCCACCCGCUGCCGGAGGAGGAGGUGGAGGAGCCGCAGGGGCCCGCCGAGGCGGCGGCGGCGGCAAGAUGGCGGACUUCCUGCCGUCGCGCUCCGUGCUGUCCGUGUGCUUCCCGGGCUGCGUGCUGACGAACGGCGAGGCCGAGCAGCAGCGCAAGUCCAAGGAGAUCGACAAAUGCCUGUCGCGGGAGAAGACCUACGUGAAGCGGCUGGUGAAGAUCCUGCUGCUGGGCGCGGGCGAGAGCGGCAAGUCCACCUUCCUGAAGCAGAUGCGGAUCAUCCACGGCCAGGACUUCGACCAGCGCGCGCGCGAGGAGUUCCGCCCCACCAUCUACAGCAACGUGAUCAAAGGUAUGAGGGUGCUGGUAGAUGCCCGAGAGAAGCUUCAUAUUCCCUGGGGAGAUAACAAAAACCAGGUCCACGGAGACAAGUUGAUGGCAUUUGAUACCCGAGCUCCCAUGGCUGCCCAGGGGAUGGUGGAGACUCGAGUUUUUUUGCAGUAUCUUCCUGCUAUAAGAGCCUUAUGGGAUGACAGUGGCAUACAGAAUGCCUACGAUCGGCGCCGGGAAUUCCAACUGGUAAGACAUUCGCUUGUCUAAAAUGUGUUUUUAUUUAUCUAUUUUUAUUUUUCGAGGUUUUAUUUAUGUGUGUGUGUGGGUACAUGUAUGCCCCAGAACAUGUGUAGGCGCCAGAGGACAACUUGUGGGAGAUGGUUCUCUCCUAGGGUAUGGGUUCUGGGCAUUAAACUCAGGUCCUCAGGCUUGGGGGCAAGUGUUUUACCUGCUGAGCCACCCUAACCCUGAGGUGCUUCUGUUUAAUGACAUUUAGCAAUGUCAGGUUUAGCACACUGUUAUAGACUUCCACAGUGUAAUGUAUCAAUUCAAAACUGUAGCCUCAGAAACUCGGUUUGCUGUGUGUGCCUUUUACUAAGCAAGGUUAAAAAUGAGGUCAACUCUGUAGGUGUAGUAAAGCUGUUUUACUGGUUAGAAAGUAAGGUUGGAAUGACUUUCCCCGGUAUUCUAAUUUUGUUCUCUUUAAAAAGUUAUUUUUCUUACAACUGUGACUUCCAUGCUCUUCUCCAGCGAUGGCUUUUUAGAAUAGAAGUUUGGUUGGUGAAUGUGGUGGUUUACGUGUUCCAGUCAGCCUUUGAACCACUUACCCAGUGACACAGAUGAGUUUGCUAUAGAGAGAUUAGAGUCUUUUUCUUUUCUUGCUAUGUAGACCAGGCUAGCCUUAAACUUACAGUAACCCUCCUUUCUCUGCCUCCUAAGUGCUGAGAUUAUAGACAUGAGUCCCACUGUGGCUAGCUGAGAGACUGAACUCUUUCUUUAUAAGAAACAAAGUACUAUUUUCAUGGGAAAUAAUUUCCAUUUGUUUUCCCUCCUUUAUCUUAAAAAAGACUAUAAGAUACUUUGUAGCUGUUAUACACCAUUGAAGAAAGAGUAGGAAAGCCCGAUAUAACCCAGGGCUAAAGAGAGAUACAUGGACUGGGUUAGGUGGUGGUUCAUGCCUGUAAUCUUAGCUCCUUGGAAACCAGAGGCAGAAGGAUCACAAGUUCCAGGCCAGCCUGGGUGACACAGCAAGGCCCCGACUUAAAAAACAAAGAUACAAAAAAGAAUUGAGAUGGAAUUUUUAAUCAAAUGGUUUAUAAUCUAAUUGUGAGCGCUUUGAUUGUAUUUGGUUCUAUUUGCCGAAAACCAGAAAGGGUCCAUCAGAGUAGCAAUGUGGUCAGUGUGCAGUUUAGCAAUAGUUCAGGUCCUAAGCACUUUCCUGUAAUGUAAUUACAGUAGAGUGACAGUUAAAGCAAAACUGCUUAGGAAAUUGUUUGAUGAUGUCAUGAACACUCAAGAGAUCCUCAUGGGUGUGACUAGACAGAGAUGUACAGCCACCAGACUUCCUUAGUGCCGUCAGUAUUCAGGAACAGUCUAUGCUUUCUAGAACAAUUACAAGGAAGGUUUAUGGUAUCUUUUUGGCUAAACCCAUGUCUUGUGCUCCUUACUGUUUAAUGUAGUAUGUCUGGCUAGUAUAGUUCAUCGUGGAUAUACAUCAUGUUAAAUCUCAUUGAGUGCUGGCAGCAUUGUAUAUCAAGAAGUAUGAGUUUAACUUGAUCAGUGACAUGGAGUCACCAGAUUUCUGGCUAGCUUUGACCUUUGGUCCCUGUCGUCACUGUAUUCUGGAGUCUGGGCUUGCUCCCCACAUAUCCCCUUUCCUUGCUUUCUUCUCCACCCUCCUGUUUGAGGGUAGCUUCUUGGCCUCCUUAGUUUCUUUUCUCGGUAGACUCCCUUUCCAGUGUUUUCUCAGAUGUUUAUCUUCCAAAGGCCAGGGAGAAAACAGCUUGUCCCACAGUAAGCAGUCAGUACACCCUCCAUGAAUAAAGGAACAACAGUGGACCUGACAGUUCCCUGUGGGAAAGAAACUUGUGUUUGUCCCAAGCCUACCUAAUUGAAGUUGGGGUGUCACGGACAGAUUGUGAAUCUGUGCUUUCACAUCUGAGUCUCAUAUUAAGGUCUGUGUCCUUGUUGAGAAAGGUUUGUGUGUGUGUUUUAUUUACGAAUAAACAAACCUACUCAGAAGGCCUGUGUCUUCUUGACUCGGGCCAGCUAAUGUUUCAGUAGAAGAAUGCUAUCAGCACCAGGGAGAGGCAGGCUCCAGAAAUACCUUUCCACCCCGGAUAAAAAAGUAGAGGGACAGACAAGAAAAUAAAGUUGGCAUCUACUUGUAAAGCAGAUUGAGGAUUGUCCUACCCUGAGAGUGUUUCAGCACUGUCAGCAGUGCCUGGCCUUGGUGGGUACUUGACUAUUGUGUUUUUUGAAUGGGUAAUGGUGUUUGGCACUGAGAGAGCACCUUGCUUGAAGUCACUGUCAGCACCUUUCCCUCGUAGAGCAGAGGCCCACGUGCUGUCUUCUCUUCCGUAAAGUUUGGGAGUUCAUUCACGUCUUUUUGUGGUGUUCUUUGUUGCUCUAACACUUCAGAAGUGGUCUCCCUGAGACAGCAUGGGAUUACUCAGAGAGCGCACUUCUGCCUGGAGAAUGUACCUCUUGUUGUGGGUAAAGGCUCCAGUUAGCUUACCCAUGAUUUCAACAGUAUAAUUGAUAGGUAGCCACACAUACCCUCGUAACCUCCUAAUUCCCAUGUGGCAUGACUUUCCACUUCCCUAGCUCUCUUUAUAUAGUUCUGCCAUGGUUUUUCUGGGUCACAUGUAUACAUUAGAUCUUUAUUUGGAACAGUGAUAAUCAGAUUUUUAUUGGUUUAUUUGUUUAUUUGCUUGUUUAUUUUAGUUCUUUCUUCUUUAAUGUGUUUUUUGCCUGCAUGUAGGCUUAGUGCCCAUGGAGGUCAGAAGUGGAUAUUAGAUUUCCUAGAGCUGAAUUUAUGGAUGUUUGCGACCCUCCUCCACACUCAAGCUGUGACAUAAGCACCUCUCCUCAGUGACUAGAUAAAUGUUUUUAAAAGGUUUCCUUUCGGCCUGUGGUUGAUUCUUUCAGACUUCUUACGGAAAUCGAAAUGAGAAGAGUUGCAUUUUUAGAGCGCCUGUCACAUCUUACAUUCUGCUUCAGAUGAGCGAGUACCUCUUGGUUUUCAGACAAAAGGUGAUGGAAGUGACCCUGCAGUAGAACACUCCUUUGUUAGCUGGAAUUUUGGGUGCUGAUAUGUUUUUCUCAAAAUUCUCACCAUCAAACAUGUCCCUCUCUGGGUGAGUCUGUAAAGUAUUUCCUGGAUAACUUGGAUAAACUUGGAGUACCGGACUACAUUCCGUCACAGCAAGAUAUUCUGCUUGCCAGAAGACCCACCAAAGGCAUCCAUGAGUAUGACUUUGAAAUUAAAAAUGUUCC